rnacentral:rRNA from 1 species
CCUACGGGACGCAGCAGUGGGGAAUAUUGCACAAUGGGGGAAACCCUGAUGCAGCGACGCCGCGUGAGGGAAGAAUGUCCUAUGGAUUGUAAACCUCUUUUGUCAGGGAGCAAAGUCACCCACGUGUGGGUGUUGGAGAGUACCUGAAGAAAAAGCAUCGGCUAACUCCGUGCCAGCAGCCGCGGUAAUACGGAGGAUGCGAGCGUUAUCCGGAUUUAUUGGGUUUAAAGGGUGCGUAGGCGGGUUAUCAAGUCAGCGGUAAAAUCGUGGAGCUCAACUCCAUCCAGCCGUUGAAACUGAUGAUC